rnacentral:misc_RNA from 1 species
UCCCCGUUACCGGGGCAGUCUAGCCAGAAAAAUUCAACUGGCUACAAGGGUUGCGCUCGUUGAUGGACUUAACCAAACAUCUCACGACACGAGCUGACGACGGCCAUGCAUCACCUGUCACUCGGCUCAAUAAAGCACUUUCUCCUUUCAGAGAAAUUCCGAGGAUGUCAAACCUUGGUAAGGUUCUUCGCUUACUAUCGAAUUAAACAACACGCUCCACCGCUUGUGCGGGUCCCCGUCAAUUCCUUUAUGUUUUAGUCUUGCGACCGUACUCCACAGGCGGCUUGCUUAACGCGUUAGCUUCGCUACUACCAGGGUCGAUACUGGUAACAGCUAGCAAGCAUAGUUUACGGCGUGGACUAC